rnacentral:rRNA from 1 species
AGCGAACGCUGGCGGCAGGCCUAACACAUGCAAGUCGAGCGGCAGCGGGACCUUCGGGUUGCCGGCGAGCGGCGGACGGGUGAGUAAUGCCUAGGAAUCUGCCUGUUAGUGGGGGAUAACGCGGGGAAACUCGCGCUAAUACCGCAUACGUCCUACGGGAGAAAGUGGGGGACCUUCGGGCCUCACGCUAACAGAUGAGCCUAGGUCGGAUUAGCUAGUUGGUGGGGUAACGGCCCACCAAGGCGACGAUCCGUAACUGGUCUGAGAGGAUGAUCAGUCACACUGGAACGGAGACACGGUCCAGACUCCUACGGGAGGCAGCAGUGGGGAAUAUUGGACAAUGGGCGAAAGCCUGAUCCAGCCAUGCCGCGUGUGUGAAGAAGGUCUUCGGAUUGUAAAGCACUUUAAGCCGGGAGGAAGGGCUGUAGGCGAAUACCCUGCAGUCUUGACGUUACCGGCAGAAUAAGCACCGGCUAACUUCGUGCCAGCCGCCGCGGUAAUAC